GAACACAAAACAUAAAAUAAGCAAACAAUGAAAUGUGACAGUGCAUUAGGAUCAAAUCAAAAACACUAAAUUGGAAACUUCAAAGACAAACAUAUAAAAAACUGUCAUAUGAAAACUGAAGAGAAUCAUCUAAAUACUAAUUUCCAAGUGUAAAUUUGGAAUUUAGAAAAACAGUAAAGGAUUAUACAAUUCAUCACAAUUUCAACUAAUUAUUAGUUGAAUUUCAAUAAGAUAGUUUGUCCAAAGCCCUCAGAUCUCAUAGCUUAACAAAUCAUCUGCGGUUUUCUUCACAGGUUUCAUUCACAACCUUCAAGCAAUAAUUCCAUUCCAUUCACAAACACACACACACACACACACAGAGAAAGAGAGAUAGUGACAUAGGAAGAGAGAGAGAGAGAGAGAGAGACGCAUAUCAGGUUGUGAACAAAACCGUGUAACCGUUCAAUGCUUUUAUUGAUACAUCACUGAGCAGGACAACAAACAAUUAACAAAAUUAUCGUUAUCAAUGUUAAAUAACCUUGAAUUUUUACAGUUUUGAUUUUGAGUUACUGUUAAUUUAAUGAUGAAAAACCCUAAAAUUUUCAGUUUUAAUUCUGACUUAAUUUAAUGUUAAAAAACCUAUUUUUCAGUUCUGAUUUAAAGUUACUAGUAAAACAAGUACAAUGUAACUAACAUAUUCACCAUAUAUAAGAGAAACAAAAACUUGAAUUUUGCAAAAUCGCCUUUGAAAUAUAAGUUACAUAUAAGUCAAAUACACAAAAAUAACAUCACUACACAUUAAACACGUUAAUAAAAUUUUAUUACAGUUUGAUUCCGAGUUAUCAAUUUAAAUUUAAUGUUAAGAACAAAGGAAAUACAAAUUAGAAUGUAAGAAAGAAAUAAACAAGGCAAUGGUGCACAUGACUAUAAACAAACCAAUGUAGCCACUCAAUAGUUUAUUUUUCCAUCAUUGGGCAGAAAAAACAAACAAGGCAUAAGAUAUUGGCUUUAAGUAUCAGAAUUUCAAGUUCAUUGGUUCAAGACUAUUUAUUUGAAGUUUUAAAACAGAAAAAAUAUUACAGAACCCCACUGGAAAAAUUCAAAUGGAUCGGAACAUAUGUAAACCAAAAGUACAGCUUUUCAGAAAAGAAAAGAUGGAAGUUAAAAAACCAAGAAAUUCCACCACAAUUUAAAACAAAUGCUGAAACGGCAACUUAAAAAGGAAGAUUAAUGAAAAAUAUAUAAAUUAGAUCAGAUAAAGUUUUCAAGGCUACGCAUUUCCAUCAAUAGCGCAGUAUUAAACUGCUCAGAGCCCAGUGCAUGUCAUCACAUCUUACACACCCAUAGAACACUUCAAUCUUAUUAAAGAAACACAGUUUAACUUCAAAUAAAAUUUCACCACAUUCACGAGUAAAUUUUUUUUGAAAUUAUCUUAAUUCGAUUGACAUUCAAUGAAGGAAUAAAUGGAAUCAUGGAGGGAUCUUGAAUCGAAGGCAUCAAAGAACUUGGUAUUAAGAGUUUAGGGUCAGAUUAAGCUUUCUAGGCUACACAUUUCCAUCAAAAAGUACAGUAAUAAACUGCUCAGAGCCCAGUGCAUAUAUCAUCAUUCACUAAAACUAAAAACAAUCAACAAAACAUAGAAACGGAACACAAAACAUAAAAUAAGCAAACAAUGAAAUGUGACAGUGCAUUAGGAUCAAAUCAAAAACACUAAAUUGGAAACUUCAAAGACAAACAUAUAAAAAACUGUCAUAUGAAAACUGAAGAGAAUCAUCUAAAUACUAAUUUCCAAGUGUAAAUUUGGAAUUUAGAAAAACAGUAAAGGAUUAUACAAUUCAUCACAAUUUCAACUAAUUAUUAGUUGAAUUUCAAUAAGAUAGUUUGUCCAAAGCCCUCAGAUCUCAUAGCUUAACAAAUCAUCUGCGGUUUUCUUCACAGGUUUCAUUCACAACCUUCAAGCAAUAAUUCCAUUCCAUUCACAAACACACACACACACACACACACAGAAAGAGAGAUAGUGACAUAGGAAGAGAGAGAGAGAGAGAGAGAGAGAGAGAGAGAGACGCAUAUCAGGGUGUGAACAAAACCGUGUAACGGUUCAAUGCUUUUAUUGAUACAUCACUGAGCAGGACAACAAACAAUUAACAAAAUUAUCGUUAUCAAUGUUAAAUAACCUUGAAUUUUUACAGUUUUGAUUUUGAGUUACUGUUAAUUUAAUGAUGAAAAACCCUAAAAUUUUCAGUUUUAAUUCUGACUUAAUUUAAUGUUAAAAAACCUAUUUUUCAGUUCUGAUUUAAAGUUACUAGUAAAACAAGUACAAUGUAACUAACAUAUUCACCAUAUAUAAGAGAAACAAAAACUUGAAUUUUGCAAAAUCGCCUUUGAAAUAUAAGUUACAUAUAAGUCAAAUACACAAAAAUAACAUCACUACACAUUAAACACGUUAAUAAAAUUUUAUUACAGUUUGAUUCCGAGUUAUCAAUUUAAAUUUAAUGUUAAGAACAAAGGAAAUACAAAUUAGAAUGUAAGAAAGAAAUAAACAAGGCAAUGGUGCACAUGACUAUAAACAAACCAAUGUAGCCACUCAAUAGUUUAUUUUUCCAUCAUUGGGCAGAAAAAACAAACAAGGCAUAAGAUAUUGGCUUUAAGUAUCAGAAUUUCAAGUUCAUUGGUUCAAGACUAUUUAUUUGAAGUUUUAAAACAGAAAAAAUAUUACAGAACCCCACUGGAAAAAUUCAAAUGGAUCGGAACAUAUGUAAACCAAAAGUACAGCUUUUCAGAAAAGAAAAGAUGGAAGUUAAAAAACCAAGAAAUUCCACCACAAUUUAAAACAAAUGCUGAAACGGCAACUUAAAAAGGAAGAUUAAUGAAAAAUAUAUAAAUUAG
rnacentral:lncRNA from 1 species